GUAUGUAGCUCAAUGGCAGAGCGCUUGCCUUGCAUAUACAAGGCCCUGAGUUCGAUCCUCAGCACCACA
rnacentral:tRNA from 1 species